GACGAACGCUGGCGGCGUGCUUAACACAUGCAAGUCGAACGGAAAGGCCCUGCUUGCAGGGUCCUCGAGUGGCGAACGGGUGAGUAACACGUGGGUGAUCUGCACUGCACUUCGGGAUAAGCCUGGGAAACUGGGUAUAAUACCGGAUAGGAGACAUUUUUAGUGUGAUGGUUGGAAAGUUUUUUCGGUGUAGGAUGAGCUCGCGGCCUAUCAGCUUGUUGGUGGGGUAAUGGCCUACCAAGGCGGCGACGGGUAGCCGGCCUGAGAGGGUGGACGGCCACACUGGGACUGAGAUACGGCCCAGACUCCUACGGGAGGCAGCAGUGGGGAAGAUUGCACAAUGGGCGCAAGCCUGAUGCAGCGACGCCGCGUGUGGGAUGACGGCCUUCGUGUUGUAAACUCCUUUCGCUAGGGACGAAGCUUUUUGUGACGGUACCUAGAUAAGAAGCACCGGCUAACUACGUG
rnacentral:rRNA from 1 species